GGCCGUCGUCUCUACAACGGAUCGUCCGGCGCGUACCCGCCGGUGGAGGAAACCAUG
rfam:Gulosibacter sp. 10 strain 10(10) genome assembly, contig: Scaffold5